UACGAAGGGGGCUAGCGUUGUUCGGAAUUACUGGGCGUAAAGCGCGCGUAGGCGGUGUGCAUAGUCAGGGGUGAAAUCCCGGGGCUCAACCUCGGAAUUGCCUUUGAUACUGGCACGCUUGAAUCCGUGAGAGGGUGGUGGAAUGGCCAGUGUAGAGGUGAAAUUCGUAGAUAUUGGCCGGAACACCAGUGGCGAAGGCGGCCACCUGGCGCGGUAUUGACGCUGAGGCGCGAAAGCGUGGGGAGCAAACAGG
rnacentral:ncRNA from 2 species